GUCAGGUGACCUCCGUCAGGAAGGUCCAGCCCCAUGAUCCUGCCAUGAGGUUCCACAACAGCCGUGUACACAGCAAAGUUGGCUGGAGAACCUUCCAGAAGAAACACAGUACCGGAGCAACUCAAGACACUGCCCCCUACAGGUGGAGAUGGGAAUUGUGGUUUCUGGUUGAGUCUGCACAAUAAAUUGGUGAAAAAGCA